GACGAACGCUGGCGGCGUGCUUAACACAUGCAAGUCGAACGGUGAAGCGCCUUCCUUUUUGGUGGGUGUGGAUGAGUGGCGAACGGGUGAGUAACACGUGAGUAACCUGCCCCCUUCUUCUGGAUAACCGCAUGAAAGUGUGGCUAAUACGGGAUAUUCUGGGUCUGUCGCAUGAUGGGUCUGGGAAAGAUAUUGUUUCGGUGGGGGAUGGGCUCGCGGCCUAUCAGCUUGUUGGUGGGGUGAUGGCCUACCAAGGCGGUGACGGGUAGCCGGCCUGAGAGGGUGGACGGUCACACUGGGACUGAGACACGGCCCAGACUCCUACGGGGGGCAGCAGGGGGGAAUAUUGCACAAUGGGCGCAAGCCUGAUGCAGCGACGCCGCGUGAGGGAUGGAGGCCUGCGGGUUGUGAACCUCUUUCGCCAGUGAAGCAGGCCUGCCUCGUUUGUGGGUGGGUUGACGGUAGCUGGAGAAGAAGCGCCGGCUAACUACGUG
rnacentral:rRNA from 1 species